AAUUAAUUUUCUUUUAUAUUUUAUAUAUAUUUUUAUCUUAUUUUGAUGUCUUCAUAUUAAUUUAUAGGAAAAAUUACUCAUAAAUCCAUUUGGAAAAAUGUUAGUCCAUUUAGUCCUACAUGUUUUUUUAUAAACCAAAUAGUCAUUUUUAUUUGUAAUAUGUAUUAUUGGUUAGAUUUAGUAAUAUUUGAGUUUACUUGUUUGCCCCUUAUUGUGAUUAUGUUUUUGAUGUUUUUUUGUAUAGCGAUCCCGGUCUUCCUUCCGUUGUUUAGUGUAUUCCCGACUCGGUUCCGUGAAUGAUUGUUGUUGUCAGUGUCGCGUUUCUGUCCUUUAAUUCUUUGUAUUUGAGUUUUGGGAUGUGUUGGGCAGUUUUGAAACAGGUUGGUUGUGUUAGAAACAAAUAGCUUCUACCCGGAUUUUGGCCUCCCCGAUCGAGCGGGACUUUUCAAGCUCGAGCGGGCCCUUUUGCAAUUACUCCUCCGCUCGAGUGGGCAGUCUGACACUCGAGCGGGAUUCUUCAGCCUUCAGUAUUUUUUUUCCGAAGGUUUGCAGAAUCUGGAAGUGUACUUUCGACGCUCGAGCGUCCGUUUUCACGCUCAAGCGGGUGUCUGUGUCUGAUGCUCGAGCGGGGCGUUCCACGCUCGAGCGGACUGUGUGUAUUUCAGUCCGAGAAGAAGCCAUUUUGAAUCACUUUUUCGACUCUCUCUCUCUCUCUAAAGCGUUCCAAAACACUAGGUUGAGAGCUUCUCACUCUAGAAUACUCUCACUCUCUCUCUACAUUUUGAUCUUGAUUUAGUGUGACCCAAUCCUUGUGCUUUCAUUAAAGUGUUGGAGCUUCUCAUGACCUCUAUAUUCCAUCCGAAUAGAAGUUGAUUUCGCCACCUUUGGAGUCACCACUUACUUGGUUCAUCUUCUCCUUUGAGCUCCGAAAUUUGAGGUACAUGUGUUGUGCCGCCUCCAAGGUCUUAACUUGGAAGAUUCUUGGGAGUUGAAGACUCUUUUGGUUGUUUUGUUAUUUUUAGUGUUACAUGUAAAUUCAAGCUAAUGACUUAAUGUGUUUAGAGUUAGAACUCUCCUUUUUAUAAUCAAGUGUUGGCUUGAAAAGUUGUAAGCCCGUAGAACAUUUAUUUUUGUUGUCAACAUGUAAUACUUUUGUAAUGAAUACUCUGAUAAAUGAAUAUAUGUUUAUUUCGCUUA